CAAGACCCCAAAACCAGGGCUGUAAUCAAGCUCCAAAGAAAGUGAGCUAACGUGUUCGCCGACGACACCACUGUUGUUGGACGAAUUACAGAUGGUGAUGAGUCGGAGUAGGGAAGUGCGGUGGACCGAUUGACCAAAUGUUGCCAGCACAACAACCUGGCUCUCAAUAUCAGUAAAACCAAGGAACUGAUUGUGGACUUUGGAAGAAGAAGGAUGAGGACCCACAAUCCUGUUUAUAUUAGUUGGACAAUGGUGGAGAGUGUCAAAAAACUCAAAUUCCUGGGGGUGCAGAUUUCAGAAGAUCUUUCCUGGACCCAGCACACUGAUGCAAUUAUAAAGCACAUCAGCGUCUCUACAGAUGUACAGUAGAGAGCAUGCAUCAUGGCCUGGUUGGGAAACUUGAGCGGAAAAGACUGCGAAAAGUUGUAAAUACAGUCCAGUCCAUCACCGACUCUGACCUCCCCACCAUCGACGAGAUUUAUCGGAGUCGCUGCCUCAAAAAGGCAGCUAACAUCAUCAGAGACACCCACAGCAUCCUGGCCACACACCCUGCCAUUUCACCACUGCCAUUGGGAAGAAGGUACAGGAGCCUGAAAACUGUAACUUCCAGGUCCAGGAACAGCAUCUUCCCUUCAGCCAUCACGACAACAAAUAAGCUUUGAACUACAACUGACUAUUAUUAUUGCACAAUAAUUGUUUGUUUGUUUUUCGAGCAUGUGUGUGUGUGUGUAUAUAUACACACUGAACUUUUUUUCCUCUCGAUUAUGUACUAUAUUUACAUAUUCUGUUGUGGCUGCAGCAAGUAAGAAUGUCAUUGUUCUAUCUGGGGCAUGUGACAAUAAAACUCUCUUGACGGGCACGGUGGACCCACCUUGAUUACGGCUUUAAAUUGUAAGAGGACGCCUUUUGUGCAGCGUUUGCAGUGCCGACGUCAGGCUCCGGACAAGAUCCGGGGCGCAGUUUGUGGGUGAGCUGGGAGCUGCGGGAGGGAACCUGACCGGUUUCCUGUGCCGGGAGCAGUAGGGCAGGUGGAGGCGACUCCCUCUCGCUGCCGCAGCGAGGCGGCCCAGGGCGCUGAGUAGCAAUGGGAGCAGGAAGUUCGGGGGUGGAGGAAAGGACAUAACCUGUUUCCGAGCUGAGAGCCAAGGAGGGCUAAGGCAACGAGCCCCCCCUCCUCUUGCUUGUUCUGAUUCCUCAAAACCCGGGAGAGCAACUCCGUCCAUUCAGCAUGGACGGUGUGAGCAGAGAAUGGAGGGAGGUGCAGCGACUGAAAGGUAGGACAGAGAAAGCCCAGCGAGCGUCGUGAACUCAUGCACAAACUCAACGGGUGAGUGUAGAUCAGUCACGCCUCAGUGGAACGAGGAGACAAAAUCGCUAUUUAACUCGAAUUAGAGAACCGUUUUUGUUAUGGUUACACACAACCUAUUACUUGACAAUAAAACACCUGCAAGAAGUUAUAAAGUGAGGGAACUUUAGAACGGAAUGUUAGUCCAAGUUCGGGGUGCAGUUCCAGGCGGUGUGCGAUAAAAGACGGGCUUUCAGUGCUCUGCCUUUCCAGCUCUUGCCUCACCGGGGAUUCAGCUCUGCGUUGCCACACCAUGGAUCGAUGCAAUGCGUCUCAGUUGCGCCAGCGAUUGUUUGGUGUUGCAGGGAACAUCGAGGCUGUGAGGAGAUGUAAUACAUGGUGAUUUACUGUCCAGGAUAUGGAUACCAUUAGAGAUUAGCGUUCUACCUUCCAUGGUCGAAACAUUACGAGGACCCAACAUACCUGGCAGAAAAUUACGGAUGUUGUGGGCUUGGAUUCAAAACUUCUCAGAUUGAGGAUAAAGUUGGCAAACAACUUCAGACUGGAGAAGCGUGGCCAAGAUCCCGUGUCAUCCCGGCAAACCAGGGUGAUGAUGAUGAAAAACGUGCUUUGCAAGAUGACUGCAGCUUGUCAAGGUCUCCAGAACCUAACAUCAUCUUGGAUAAAGAAGUUGGAUUGAUCUGCAUCUAAUUCUCACACUUAUAAAUCAUUCCCACCAUCACUGGCACAACUGGCUGAGUCCUGUAUGAUCUCCACAUUUCCCCGCGCAAGGCUUUUUCCACAGCAUCUUGCAAACCCGCAACCUCUACCAUCUGCAAGGAAUUGAAGAAGGUGCAGGUGCAUUUCAGCGGCUGACAAUUCCUAAGUCACAGCAUUUUUAAUUGGAAAUAUAUUGGCAUUCCAUCAUUGUUUGCCGAGUAAAAACCCUAAAAUGCACUGUGAUGAUUAUUGUUGGAGAUACCUUAAUUAAAGGACUGCAGUGGCUCAAGAAGGCAGCUUACCACUAAGGGGUGUGCAUUGAAUGCUGGCCCUGCUUGGAUUGCCUACAUCCUGGAAAUUAAUUAUAUAAAUAUAAAGAUAUCACAUUUUAUUCACACUUUCUUAUUUGUGAAUCAUAAAACGGCUUGUUAAAAAUUCUAAAACAACUGUUUUAUCCUAAAUCCUAAAUGUUAAAUCCUAAAACAAUCUUGUGAAGAUAUUCAUUUUUCAAAUGUCAACCACUCCUCGCUUAUAUAUAUCUUCAAAAUAUUGGCCACUUUUCAUUCAUGUGAACAAGAUCCUCCUUCGCCUUAGUCUUUCAAUCACUCAUCCACUCUUUUUCACCAUGGUUACAAUAGAUUACAAAUGACAAAAUAUCCACAUGGGUAAUUAUUACAUUUUAUGAAUCGUAUAUUCUGUUCAGAUGUCAGAGUCUCCGCGCAGCACUUUUACAUUCGUUAAGAGCUGGAGGGAAGGCAAGAUAUUGGCAUAGCAGUUGUGUUCAUAACCUGCUAUGCCUACAUACUGCCAUCUUUCCUGUCUGAGUGCAGCCAAGGCGUGCAGUUUUCAGUCUCUGCAAGAACCUGGUCAUCAAUAAUAACCUCAUCACUUCCAGACUUUUUUAACGGAAAAUGGGCAAUGAAAUAGGAGAUUGUGAAACAUAACACUGAAUAUUCCUAUAUUCUUGAAUGCGACCAAAUUCACGGGGUUGCUUAGAGUACAUGCUGUAAAAGUUUACUUUGCAUUAUAUAGUCUUACAAACAAUUAAACUCCAUUCCAUAACAAUGAAACGUAUUUUCAUUGCGUCCAGAAAGAAAUGAUUGUUUCCCCAGUUCUGUUCCAUCUAUUGCGAGCUGUCCUUCUCGACGUGUUUAAGGACCCAAGAACACUGCAAGUGCUGUAGAAAUAAUUGCUCAGGUUGAGGCAGAUCUGUUGUUUUUCUGUGCUUGACAGCAGAGUGAGAAAGUCAUCCAGAAGAUUGUAGCCAUUCACAGUUCACAAGUAUUCAUCUUCUCAAGUUGCUGAACAACUCGCACUUGAAUAAUGGUGGGGAUUUUGACCUAUUGAUGCAUACAUUGUAUAGCACACAAUGACUUUCACAGCAAACUUAGGACUAUGACUAAAUACAAUCCGUGCUUUAGCUUUUUCUCAUUUGUUGAAUGAACCAAAAAUUGCAAAAUGUUUUGCUUCAACUUAUUGUAGUACAAUGAAAGAAUUUGAGUGUUAUUUGCACCAGUGCAAUGAUGCAGGCUGUGAGCGGAGUGUGGUGGGCAACUACGCACACUGAAAUCGUGCUAUCAACCGUAAUUUUACUCAUUUGUUUUUUUGACGUAAUAUUGAUGAUUGAAAUUGACAGAAACCUUCUGCAAAUUUCAGGGGCAUUAACAAAUUAGAGUCAAACAUAGGCACAGGUCCAAAAAAGGGUCUCGACCGAAAAUAUCACCUAUCCAUGUUCUCCAGAGAUGUUGCAUGUUCCACUGUGUUAUUCCAGGAUUUUGUGUCCUUUAAAGUCAAACACAGCAUGGAUGCCCUUAAAAUACAGCUUUAAUUCCACUUUUAUGAGAUUUUAAGAGAUCAGCAACAUAAGAGUGGUGACAAAUAAGCAGACCACAGUUCUGAGCUGCCCUGCUCAGUUUACAUUGGAUUGAGUGCAAUCUGAGUCGUAACAAGGACUGCUGAGGCACAAUAUAGCUUCUUUUUAAUAU